rnacentral:rRNA from 1 species
UACAGAGGUCCCAAGCGUUGUUCGGACUCACUGGGCGUAAAGGGUGCGUAGGCGGUCGGGGUAAGUCUGACGUGAAAUCUCCGGGCCUAACCCGGAAACUGCGUCGGAUACUAUCCGGCUAGAGGAUUGGAAGGGAGACUGGAAUACUUGGUGUAGCAGUGAAAUGCGUAGAUAUCAAGUGGAACACCAGUGGCGAAGGCGAGUCUCUGGACAAUUCCUGACGCUGAGGCACGAAAGCCAGGGGAGCAAACAGG